AGAUUAAGUUAUUAAGGGCGCACGGUGGAUGCCUUGGCACUAGAAGCCGAUGAAGGACGUUACUAACGACGAUAUGCUUUGGGGAGCUGUAAGUAAGCUUUGAUCCAGAGAUUUCCGAAUGGGGAAACCCAGCAUGAGUUAUGUCAUGUUAUCGAUAUGUGAAUACAUAGCAUAUCAGAAGGCACACCCGGAGAACUGAAACAUCAUAGUACCCGGAGGAAGAGAAAGAAAAUUCGAUUCCCUUAGUAGCGGCGAGCGAAACGGGAAGAGCCCAAACCAACAAGCUUGCUUGUUGGGGUUGUAGGACACUCUAUACGGAGUUACAAAGGACG
rnacentral:rRNA from 1 species